rnacentral:rRNA from 1 species
GACGAACGCUGGCGGCGUGCUUAACACAUGCAAGUCGAGCGGUAAGGCCCUUUCGGGGGUACACGAGCGGCGAACGGGUGAGUAACACGUGGGUGACCUGCCCUCAGCUCUGGGAUAAGCCUGGGAAACUGGGGUCUAAUACUGGAUAUGACUCCACGGUGCAUGUCGUGGGGUGGAAAGCCUUGUGCGGCUGAGGAUGGGGCCCGCGGCCUAUCAGCUUGUUGGUGGGGUGANGGCCUACCAAGGCGACGACGGGUAGCCGGCCUGAGAGGGCGACCGGCCACACUGGGACUGAGACACGGCCCAGACUCCUACGGGAGGCAGCAGUGGGGAAUCUUGCGCAAUGGGCGAAAGCCUGACGCAGCGACGCCGCGUGAGGGAUGACGGCCUGG